GCCUUGGUAGCUCAAUGGUAGAGCACCUGCUUCGUAAGUAGGGGGUUGGGGGUUCAAAUCCCUCCCAAGGCU
rnacentral:tRNA from 1 species